AGAAAUAAGGAAAAAAAAAAAGAGGAAAAGAAAAAUAAAUUUUUCUUUAUGGGAAAAAAAUGUGUUUUAUUAUUUUGGAGAUUUUGGAAAGAAGAAAAAAAUUAUCUAGACACGUGAAAGUUGAGUUCUGGGCUUUUUAGGUAUUUAUAGUCCCGACCCUAUAUUUCGAAACAUGGAGCAACGUGGGGUUCGAAAUAAAUUUUUUAGGAAUUAGAUUUCGAAAUAGAAUGCUAAGAUGUUUCGAAAUAAGAUAUUUUGGAAAGCUGUUGUCAGGUCGUGAUGGGACACUUCGGAAUAGUUGUGCCCAUAAUAGGACUUGUGGGAGUAGUCUAAUGAGAAUAAUCUGCCAGAUGCAGUGAGAGUUUGUGAUAACUUAAAGGAUCGGGUUGCGUGUUUCUGCAACAUAAACAAAAGAUACGUGUGGAUUACACCAAGACACAAAGAGAACUAACCGAUGUAUGAUUUGGAGCUGGCAACUGGGGUAUGUGCUCUCGAGGUUAUGGAGACACUACCGGAAUGGUGGGGCAUUUUGAUGUGCUCACGAAUCACGAGGAGCCUGAGGUACAGGUUCUCGCAGAAAGAGCUAAACGAGUGGUAGUGAUGGUGGAUAGAGUUCAUUGAGGACUACGACUGCACUAUUUCGUAUCACUCGGGGCGUGGCCGUGAGGUGCCGACGCAUGACCUGGGUGGAUAGCUAUGAGUGUCAGAUGUUAGAGGCUUGCUGACUAUGAGUGUAGUGCCAAAUGGAUCGUUUGUCUUUAUCGCUGGCCUAACAGUUUAGUUGGAUCUAGUGAUCGAGAUACAAAAAGCAUGUGUGAUUGGUGGGUGUUAUUGUCUAUAAUUGAUGAUUGUGGUCAGCCCAAGGGUUAUGAUUUUUGAGAUGCAAUAUGGCAUUCUUAAAAGUUUCAGAGUAGGAUGUGCGUGCCUAGGAUGUUGGAAGAUGUGUGGUCGUCUGUAAAGAGACACAACAAGAAAUUAUGUAAAUGACACGGCAUGCUUGUAGGCAUCAGACGUGUAAGAAAUGCAAACGGAAGUAUUUGUCAAGGACCAAAUAGACAUUUGAUUUGAAGUAUUCAGGUAAUGAGCUAUGUAUUGUCUUAGUUACCUUAACGGUCAGAUGAAAAUUUAGAGGUCGAAAUUUCUUUAAGGAAGGGUGAAUGUAAUACCCGAGAAAUUCUAAAGGACUCAAAGGUAAAUUAUCUUGGGGGCAAAAAAUGGAAUUUAAGGAUAAAUGAAGGGUAUAACGAAAAUUUAUUACCAUAUAGAUGACCGAAUCAACUGCUGGGAGUGUCUUGGAGCUGAGAUGCCAAAGGAAAAUGAUGUGGCAUUAACAAGUACCCCGAGAUAGGAUUUAUGGUACCGAAAGAAAUUGGAUCAGGAACGACUUUCUGUACAGCUAAAAUGCAGCUGCCAAUUAGGUUGCAAUACUGAAUUGUUAUAGACGAUUUCCGGGAAGUCAACGGAGGCUUGAGGGGGCUUCGGUUUUUCAUAAGGAACAACCCUUCAGUGGUUUCAGGAAAAAACAAAAGGGUUUAAGGCCAAAAUGGAGAUUCGGGCCUAAGUGCAAUUUUUCAAAAUUGCCUGAGGGAGGUCGAAACGAUAAUUUCUUGGAAUCUUUGAGGGUCAAAUGAAAGUUUUAGGACUUGAGGAACUUAAAUGCAAUUGUGCAAAGUUGCUGGGUUAUGUGAAAAUGGGUCAAAAUGGGAAAACCAAAGUUAAGGGGCCAAAGUGCAAUUUCAAGAAAACCUCCAAAGCAUCCAUGGCCGACCAACCUUCCAAUCGCCGAAAUCAGCCAUGGGAGACCCAAGGCAGUGGCUGGGGGGCCUCUGGGCAAGGCCAAGACAAGCUUCAUGGCCAACAAAUGGACAAAAUGGCGUCAAAAUCGGUCCAACUUUCGGCCGAAAGUUUGGCCACUGAAAUGGCAAGAUUGGAGCUUUUUCAGUGGAUUUUGGACUUGUUAAGGGCAAGAGGGGACAUUAGAGGCCUUGAAUGAAGCGAGAUCCAUCGUUUAGGGGUUUGAAAUCGCCUAUAAAUAGAGGUAUUUAGAGAUGCCGAAAUAUAGAAAAAAUUUAAACUCUUAGAUCCGAGAGUUUGUGAAUAAAUUGAGAGAAUCGGAUAAGGGGCUUUCGUUGCCCAUAUCCUAAGCUUCAUUUCUAUGCAAUUUGAGCCAUUUUGGUUGAGAGAUGAGUGAGAUUCGAAGCCUUGUCAGAAAAACGAGUUUCGUCGAAAAAUGAGCUUGAGCAGUCUGAAAAUGGCUCGGUUUGAGGGAUUUUAUGGUAUUAUCUUAUAGAGGGCGAAAAGACGAAGCCAUAGGUUCAAACGGGGGGUCAAUUGGAGGUCGGAUGAAGAAGUUAUGGCCUAUUAAACCAGAGGUAUCGCGUGCUGUCCGGCGAGCUGGAGGAAUAAGACAACCAGCGCUUAGGGGCACAUGCGCUAGCUGGGCCCUGCGAGUCGGCGCGCGUGGAGAAUUUUGUAUGGGCCAGUGCGGGCGUGUCUGGAUUCCAAAAAUUAUGAAAAAAAAGAUAAAUUCCUCUAAAAUCAAGCUCUAGAGGCCAAUGCAAAAAUAUUUGGAUUUGGACUUCUCGAUGUCUCGGUUUUAGCAUCAAAGAGUCUCGUUUUGCACGAAAACGCAAUAUCCGGGUAAGUUCAGUAUUUUUUCCUUGAAGUUCAUAGUCUAUCAUGAAUUGUUGUGGAAUUAGAUUUGAGAAAAUAGUCUUGAUGGUAUUUAUUGGGAUUUUUAGAAGGAAAAAUGGAAAAAAAUGAAGUAAAAUAGGUAGAAAUUGGAAUAUCGAGAUAUUUAGUGAUUAAAUAUCAUUUUUAUGGUUGAGGUGAUCGAGAUGAUGUGAUUGCUGCGACUUUCGAGAGUUGGCACGGAAAUCGAGGUCGGACAUGCAUAUCAAGGCAAUGCGCGCUCUUCGAGUUGUUUUGAUCUCUGGGCAAAUGUGAGUUUUCCUAUCCGAACUAUGGUAUUGUGAGUGAUUUUCUCACAAAAACUUAUAUUCAUGAUAUGUUUGUUAUAUAUGCAUGUUGUUAUGAAUGUAAUAUUCAUUUUGACAUAUUGCAUGGAAAGUCGUGAAAAUUGCAUGACACGAUAUUAUUGUUACAUUGAUAUUUUUGCAUGGGAAUUGGAUGUCGCCCCAGAGUGUAGCCGUAAUUCCCCUAGGGCAAUGAUGGAAUAACGUUAGGCUUAUCUUGCAGAAGUUCGGGAUUUGCCUAAGAUUCCGUGCCGGGCUCGUGAGCCUGAGAGGUUAUAUUAAGGGCAAAUGUUGUUUAUGUUAUUGUAUCAUGCAUCCAUAUAUAUGUUUUAGACCCUCACUAGAAGUUUCAUCUUUUAAUGGGUUAUGCCCUUGGAAUAUUCGACAUUCCAGUUUAGACUUGCAACUUAGGCAAGGAGCAGGUUGAGAUGAGACGGCACGUGAUUGUGUGGCCGAUGGAUUCAGCGAGCUGAUUUGGAUAUGUUUUAGCUUAUGCUUUAUUGAUGAUUAGUCUUGUUAGAAUGUUUAUGGAAUCUCCAUGUAUUUUAUAAUAUGAUGUAAUAUGUGGUACGGAUUCUUUAUGAUAUAAUAUAAGGCGAAUUCAUGUGUACCAUAUCAGGUUUUGAUUUUAAGCUUCUGCAAUUAUGAUGUUUACCUGUCUUAACUUAUUGAUUUUUAUUUAGUGUGUUGAGAAGGUAAAACGAGAUUAUCGGGAAAUGGUUUAUAUUAAAAAAAAAAAAAUUAUUCCUGAAAUUCCUAAGUUAUUUAAUGCUCGGGAAAAGUGGACAUUUCCUAUGUAUUCAACAAAUUCAUUCUGAUACCGACUGUAGUACAGUCGAUAUUAGGGUGAACCUAUGGAAAAGGUCACGUGUGGCUAGAUAAGCAAAGCCAUCGUAAGAUUUGGGUAUUGAUAGUUACUGGAUAAGUGUGGUGUAGUGGAAGUGCAUGUUUAGGAAAAUUCUGGCUAAGGAAAGACUUGGUACUUAAGUGUGUUCGUUUGUGACUCACCUCUCUUUCCUGGGAACUUACCUGGUGUACUAUUCACAAGUAUACACUAUUGCAGUAGAGGACUACUAUUCCCGAUGAAUAGUAGAAUGCCUGAUAGAAGCUAGCGCAAGAUUAGUCUGAUAGCCUAGCUGUCAAGUUAAGGAUCGAAGGAUAAGGAUUUUCGAGGAUCAGUUAGUAUCUCGGAAAUAUGAUGUAAAGAUAAGGGAUCCAUUGGAUUGGAUCGAACAAGAGGCUAAAAAUAGCCAAAUGAUGGCGUGUGAGUGCGUCGAUUAAUGAGCUGAAAGUAGUGCAACUGAUGUGACUCGCAAAGACGGGAUAAAGAAACCCUAGCAGCACGAGGACACAGCUGGUUGGGUGUUCACAGUGACAGAUCUGGAUCGAGGGACCAAGGCAGAAGACUUGUAAUGAGCUUGUGGCUAACGUGCCAGAGAAGCUUAUAGGUUGUCUCGCGGUGUGGGUCUGGGACCCAGGGUCUGAGUUGCUUAGUGAACUGCCAAAGAGACGAUCAGAUGCUGAAGAUUUGAGUAAGGUCUGUACCUUGUAGAGAAUUCCAAGUUCCAAUGGUCUAGGAGGCAAGGUGUGCUGCUAGUUAUUGUUGAUCGAGGCCGAAAGCCUAGGAAUCAACCUAAAGUAAGAUGAAUUAAAUGUGGACCGUGUGUCUUAUUGAAAGAAUUGCAUAGAGAUUCGUGGUCAUCUUUGGGAUUGGUGACAUGACGAGCAGCGAGAGGCUCGAGGGCCUAGAAUGAAUGUUCUUGCAGAAGGAGUUGAACUCAUGGCAAUGACAAGGAAUGAUAGCUCUGGGAAGGCUAUAACGAGACUGUGCAGUUUCCACCCGGAACGUACCCGUGUGAGGGUCAACGUAUGAUGUAGGGGUAAGCCUACUAUGUGAUCAGGGUGAUGAUGACAGCUUGUGUGCUGGCUGGCGAUAAAUGUAGUGCAUAGGAAGAACUAAUUUAAUGGUCGUGUGCCGAUAGUCAACUGGAUCUAAAGAACGAAAUGCGAGAGUUAGUGGAUUCUCAGUAAAUAAGAUUUCAGGUAGUGGAGCAUGACUAGUCUAAAACCUUAAUGAUGAGUUGUGAGAUGGCAACCUCAAUUCAAGGUAGAGAUCGGGUACCAAAAAGGAAAGAAUUAAUUGAUAGGUCGUAUUGACCGAAAAAGAAAUGACGAGGAGUCCUAGUCAACAGAGGUUGUGACUAUAGUUCAAUGUGCCUAGGGAAUCAGGUAGAGUUGUCGGUAGUCAACCCGACAAGGCGAGAGCACCAUGAUGAAUGGUAGAUUGAGAGCCAUGAUUACAAAGAGAUGGAAUCCAUGGGAGAUAAUUGGAACUAGAUAUCGUGAUCUGAUUCGGAUCUUUGGAGAUAAAUCGGUUUGGGAUUUUUAAGAAAUCUUCCUUGAAAGAAUUGAUUGAGGAUCUAGGGAUUCGUGAUGGAACUUUGGAGUUUCAUGAGGAAAUCUAGUAAAGGUUGGAUGAUUGGAUCGAGAGGAUCAAGUGAUGGCAGGUGUGCCAAGAUGACGAGUCGCAGUAAGGGAAGCUGCAGACCCAAAUCGAUUAAAGAUUCGAGAUUUUUAGAAUGAAACUCUCGUAUGAUUAGACGACUGGUUUAGGUAGCCAAGUAGGCAAAUUGAGAGAUAUAUAGCUGGACGACCAUUAAAAUGAUGUCAGCAAGUUAUGAAAAUGAUGAGCCUAUUGUUAUGAGGUAUAGGCACUUGCGGUAAGUGAAAAGCCAUAAGAGAAAUGGAAAAUAACCAGGAUAUAUUCUCAGAAGAUUUAACGGGAUUAUUUUUUUUAUGAUGAAAUUGCCAAUGAUAGCUUGAGGUUAUUGGAUGCUUAGCUAUGUGUGAUUUGAUUUAGGACGUGAAUUAUGGAUGAUAAUUAAAAGCUGAUAUUUUACCUCGAUUUGAUGAAUUAUUAAAACAGUUGCAAGAGGCUGAGAUAUCUUAUGAUCAAUAUACAAUUGAGGGUGAGACAAGGGAAUGAAAUGUUAAAAAUACCAAAGCAUAAUAUUCAUUCUAUAUAUUCAAACAGUUACAGGAAAUCAAGCCGUACAAUUACUCCAAGGGAAAAAAAAAAAAAGGAAACCAUAAAACUGAUAACGUGGUCGAUGCUCAAUGACGACGAGGGUUGCCAAACACGACAGCUCCUAGCUCAUCGAUGUCAUCUAGGGGUGGCAUCUGGCUAGUGCUGGUUUCGCCAGGGUAAGGUGGAAGAGUAGCCUCUGAGAAACUAGGAUGAGGGACAUCCUCUGGGAUGAUAGGAAGAUCGAAAUUCCAGCUUGGGUUUUGAACAGGUUGGGGAUGUGAAAAAUAAUAUGCGAAUAAUGAAUCUUGCAAAUAAGCUCGGUAAGCUUGCAACUCACUAACUUGCUGCUAAAGGGCAAGAAUGUGAGAUACACAGCCAUAGACGGGAUCUUGAAGCCGGGCUUGAGCUUCAAAGAUGGGUGUAUUGGAAGCUCAAAAUCGGUCGCUAACCGGAAGCGGCGCUAGGAAGUUGACAACAUUCUUGACAGUAAAAACAUCACGGAUGGCGACAAAACGAGCAAUACUAUCCUCACAACGGAAGUAAGGAGCAAAGAUGCACUGUGAAUUGCAUCCUCUAUUUAAGACUACGCAAGCACCACAUCGAGACUGGGGCCUUGGUAUGUUGCCCCAUGGCAUGUUACGCCUCAACAUGAUAGAUCUAGGUCUGGCUAAAUCUAAACAAAUCAGAUAUAGGUUAGAUCUAAAGGGUCAAACCUGAAUCGAGUUGAGUCGGUUUAGGUCGGACCUGGUCGGGUUGAAUCGACCCAGAUCUGGCAGCAGUGGCAAGGACAACGAUGGUGCGGUGGCGGCCGAGGGAAGGCGGGCGAUGGCCAGUGGUUGCGCAAGAGAGCUAGCAGCGGCGGCGACGCACAGAAUUUGGCCGACGCGAGGGCCGAUUGGGCCGGCGAUGAUGGAUGGGAGGAGCUGCGAUCGGCGACUGGGGCGCGGAGAAGCCGCACGGUGGCUCGCUGCCGAUGGCGAAGCAGGCGCUAGAGGCGGUUGCGGAGGGGGCAACGGCGGCUGUCGGAGGUGGUGGUGACGCUGUAGGCGACGGCGGCAGGUGGCUGUUCGUGCGUAAGGUCGGCAGAGGGAAGAAGAAGAAGAAGGAAGAGGAGAAGAAAGAAGAAGAAGAAAAGAAAAGAAAAAGGAAAAAAAAAGGGAGAAGAAAAAUAUCUCUAUGGGAAAAAAAUGUGUUUUAUUAUUCCGGAGAUUUUAGCAAGAAGGAAAAAAUUAUCCAGACACUCGAAAGUUGAGUUCGGGGCUCUUCGGGUAUUUAUAGUCCCGACCCUAUGUUUCGAAACAUGAAACAACGUAGAGUUCGAAAUGAAAUUUUUGCAAACCAGAUUUCAAAAUAAAAUGCUAAGAUGUUUCAAAAUAGAUGUUUUGAAAAAGCUAUUGUCAGAAGGCAGUGAUGGAACACUCCGGAAUAAUUAUGUCCACAAUAGAACUCGUUGGAAGAGUCUAAUAAGAAUAACUUGCUGGGUGCAGUAAGAGUUUAUGAUAGCUCAAGGGAUCGGAUUGCGUGAACAUGACCAAAUGAUUACGUAUGGAUGAUACCAAGGCACAAAGAAAACUACCCGAUAUGUGACUUGGAACUAACAGCUAGGGUAUAUGCUCUUAAGGUUAUGGAGCCUGAGUACGGGUUCUCGCAGAAAGAGCUAAACGAGUGGUAGCGAUGGUGGAGAAAGUUCCUUCAGGACUACGACUGCACUACUUCGUAUCACUCGGGGCGUGGCCGUGAGGUGCCGACGCAUGAGCUGGGUGGAUAGUUUUGAUUGUCAGAUGCCAGAGGCUUGUUGGCCUGCUGCCUAUGAGUGUAGUGCCAAAUGGAUCGUUUGUCUUUAUCGCUGACCUAACGGUUUAAUUGGAUUUGGUGAACAAGAUACGAAAAGCAUAUGUGAUUGAUGGGUGUUAUUUUCUAUAAUUGAUGAUUGUAGCCAGCCCAAGGGUUUUGAUUUUUGAGAUAUAAGAUGGCAUUCUUAAAAGUUUCGGGGUAGGAUGUGCGUACCUAGGAUGUUGGAAGAUGUGUGGUCGUCUGUAAAGAGACACAACAAGAAAUUAUGUAAAUGACACGGCAUGCUUGUAAGCAUCGGACGUGUAAGGAAUGCAAACUGAAGUGUUUGUCAAGGACCAAAUGGAUAUUUGAUCUAAAGUGUUUAGGUAAUAAGCUAUGUAUUGUCUUAGUUACCUUAAUGGUCAGAUGAAAAUUUCGAGGCCGAAAUUUCUUUAAGGAGGGGUGAAUGUUAUACCUAAGAAAUUCUAAAGGACUCAAGGGUAAAUUAUCUUAGGGGUAAAAAUGGAAUUUAAGGAUAAACGAAGGGUAUAAUGGUAAUUUAUUACUGUAUAGAUGAUUGAAUCGACUACCGGGGAUGCCUUGGAGCCGAGAUGCCAAUGAAAAAUGAUGUGGCAUUAACACGCACCCCGAGAUAGGAUUUAUGGUGCCGAAAGAAAUCGAAUCGGGAACAAUUUUUUGUACAGCUAAAAUGUAGCUGUCAAUUAGGCUGCAAUACCGAAUUGUUAUAGACGAUUUUCGGGAAGUCAACAGAAGCUUGAGGGGGUUUCGAUUUUUCAUAAGAACAACCCUUCAGUGGUUUCAGUAAGAAACGAAAGGAGUUUACGGCCAAAAUAAAUAUUCGGGCCAAAGUGCAGUUUUUCAAAAUUGCCAAAGGGAGGCUGAAACAGUGUUUUUCCGAAAUCUUCAGGGGCUCAAAUAGAUGUUUUAGGGCUUGAGGGUCGUAAACACAAUUAUGCAAAGUUGAGGGGCUUUGUAAAAAUGGGUUAAAGUGAGAAAGCCAAAAUGUAAGGGGCUAAAAUGCAAUUUCAAGAAAACCCCAAGCAACCAUGGCCGACCAGCCAUCUUGUCGCUGAAUUCGGCCAUGGGAGACACGAGGAAAUGGUUGGGGGGUCCUCGGGGGCAAGGCCAAGACGAGAUUCUUGGCCAACAAGUGGCCAAAAUCGCAUUGAAAUCGAGCCAAAUUUCGGCCGAAAGUGGCCAAAAGUUUGGCCACUUUGAUCACGAAAAAUGGAGCAUUUCGGUGGGUUUUUGGACCGACUUGGGGGAGGUAGAGGCUCUAGGAGACUUGGGUUGGUCGAAAUCGAGCGUUUUAAGGAUCGAAAAUGCCUAUAAAUAGGCAUUCGAAGUGGCCGAAAGUUGGGAAGAUUAAGGCUUCAAAUCGGCCACAAAAUCGAACGAAUUGGCCGUCCAAAAUAAGGGGCUUUUGAAGCCCAUGAGGUGUAGAAGCCAUCUGGAGAAUUUGGGGCAUUUUCAUAUAGGUUUGAGGGGUUUUCGAGGCUUCAUCGAAAAAACUAGGUGGGCGACAAAGCCGAGCCUGUAAACGGUCGAUCUGAGCAUCUCCAGGUCUCCUUUCAAGCCCCAAAGCAUGCCAUUGUGAUCGAUUCAAAGAGGGCUUUCGAGGGGUAUCGAAAUCCAGCAUCGCCGACAUGGCCAGCGCUGGAGAAAAUGAUCAGCACGUGGGCCACACGCGUUGGUCAGCACGCGCAACCCACGCGCCAGCGCGUGAGGGUGCGUGGGGGCCUAGAAAAAUGUGAAAAAAAUUCCUAAAUUUCUAAAAAAAUGUUUUAUCAAGGUCUGUGUAAAAAGAUUUCCCGAUGUCUCGGUUUUAGCACCAAAGAACCUUGUUUUACGUGAAAACGUAACAUCCGGGUAAGUCUAGUAUUUUUUCCUUGAAAUUCAUAGCCUAUAAUGAAUUUUUGUGAAAUUAGAUUUGAGAAAAUAGUUCCGAUGUAUUUAUUAGAAUUUUUGGAAAGGAAAAAUGAAAGAAAAAUGAAAUAAAUAGAAUAUUGAGGAUAUUUAGUAAUUAAAUAUCAUUUUGAUGAUUGAGGUGAUCGAGAUGAUGUGAUUGGUGCAAUUUUUGAGAGUUGACACGAGAAUUGAGGUCAGGCACGCAUAUCGAGGCGAUGCGCACUUUUCGAUGUGAUUUGAUCUUUGGGCAAAUUUAGAACUUGCAGAUAUGGCAAGGAGAUGAUUGAGACGUAACGGCACGUGAUGACGUGGCCGAUGAGUUUGGCGAGUUGUCCUUGUAAUUACUUCCUCAUGAAGAGUCAAGAUAUAUUAUUGUAUUGAUGAUCAUGUAUAAUUGUUAUGGUUUAAUGUAUUUUUGAGAUAUCUUUAGAUUGUAUCAAUUGAGGUACUUAGUUGUUAUCUAUUGAUAAUGAGUCUCCAUGUAAUUAAGUAUUUAAAGAUGUAAUAGUACGAAUUCUUAUUUUAUGUUUAAAGUGGAUUUCGAUUCUGUACCA